rnacentral:lncRNA from 1 species
AUGCAAGAUGGAGCUGAAACCCGCAGGAAGCAUGCCUCAUCAUCCAUGGCCAUGGGCUCAGUUAAAGACUCAACCUCUCACAUUUAAGGCAGUGGCUUUUUGGCCUCACCUGCUGCCCACGGUUUGCUCCCAGGUCCACGUGUGCUGCUGGGGAGCCUCAGCCACAGAAGCAGCUCCAUAG